UUCAUUCAAAAUACGUAGUUGGUUGUUAGUAGUAUACAGGCGAGGGUCCCAAAGUCAAACGAUUGCAGUGGGACCCUCGGUUAACAAGAAGAUUGGUACAAAAUGAUUAAUUGAUAGAGCAGUAUAAAAAUUAUGCAUUCUACAAGUAAAUAAAUAUAUACGAAGCAGUGGGAAGUA
rnacentral:lncRNA from 1 species